rnacentral:rRNA from 1 species
CCUACGGGGGGCUGCAGUGGGGAAUAUUGGACAAUGGGCGCAAGCCUGAUCCAGCCAUGCCGCGUGAGUGAUGAAGGCCCUAGGGUUGUAAAGCUCUUUUGUGCGGGAAGAUAAUGACGGUACCGCAAGAAUAAGCCCCGGCUAACUUCGUGCCAGCAGCCGCGGUAAUACGAAGGGGGCUAGCGUUGCUCGGAAUCACUGGGCGUAAAGGGUGCGUAGGCGGGAUCUUAAGUCAGAGGUGAAAGCCUGGAGCUCAACUCCAGAACUGCCGUUGAUACUGGGAUUCUUGAGUUCGGGAGAGGUGAGCGGAACUGCGAGUGUAGAGGUGAAAUUCGUAGAUAUUCGCAAGAACACCAGUGGCGAAGGCGGCUCACUGGCCCGAUACUGACGCUGAGGCACGAAAGCGUGGGUAGCAAACAGGAUUAGAUACCCGGGUAGUC